GACGCACGCUGGCGGCGUGCCUAAUACAUGCAAGUCGAACGAGUGGCGGACGGGUGACUAACACGUGGGAACCUCCCCCUCAGACGGGGAUUACACUUGGAAACAGGUUCUAAUACCGCAUACUGUUGGAUGACUCCGCGGGGCAUUAGCCAGUUGGUGGGGUAACGGCUCACCAAGGCGACGAUGCGUAGCCGGUCUGAGAGGAUGAUCGGCCACACUGGAACUGAGACACGGCACAGACUCCUACGGGAGGCAGCAGUGGGGAAUAUUGCACAAUGGGCGAAAGCCUGAUGCAGCCAUGCCGCGUGUAUGAAGAAGGCCUUCGGGUUGUAAAGUACUUUAAGCGGGGAGGCGUUACCCGCAGAAGAAGCACCGGCUAACUCCGUGCCAGCAGCCGCGGUAAUUC
rnacentral:rRNA from 1 species